AUAACCUACGACUUGGAGGCAAGGCAUGUCACCAAGUCAUCCAAGGAUAUUCUUGGUAUCCCAGAGCACAUGGAGCUCCUGCCACCAGUGCUUUGGAGGGAGGUAGAACACCCCGGGAAUGGAAGCUGGCUGACAAAUCUGGGGGAAAAAAAUCCUCUUACAUUUAUGAGUAACCAGCUGAUGCUGCAACGCAUGAAAUAUGAUUAUAAUUACUGUCUUAGGAUAGAGCUGCAUCUUUUAUGAGCAUGUCCCAUUAUGGAAGUGAAUCGGAAUCUCUCUCAAAUCAUUUUGUAGGCCCUGGGGAGACCAGGAUUUUUUGAAUCACAUCUUCCUCCCCUUCACGUGUGUACAAGCAAAGACUCACAAAUGCCGUAUCAGAGCAUGCAUCCUAGAAAGAUACUGAAUCUUGCCACGAGGGUUCCAGGACAUGGCAGCACUGCUGCUCUGUCUGCUCACCUCUGGUUUUUAUUCAUCUUUCGUCAAGGAAAUAGUGUCUUAAUUCAAGAUAGCCAUUAUUAGUUUCUAAACAGGAAGUAAUUUUGCUGAUUUCCAUGUGGUUGAAUCAGUCCUAUUACUGAUCUUUUCUAGCUGUCUACCAGGAGUUAUCACCCUCCCAAACCUUUCCUUUGAUAAGCUGAAGGAGUUGAAUCUCUUAUGCCUGAGGCCCAUUUCCCCAAACCUGGGACUCUCUGUUUAAACUGGUGGCUUUUAAAAACCAUUAAUGGAUUCACCACAAUUAAAAAUAAUUAAACAUUUCUUAGGGAAAUUUGUCAGUAACCAGUUCAAGCUGUGAUUAAAACAGAAAUGAAAAAGCUGGGCUGGAAAUAGCUGCUUAAGCCUCUAUUUCUUUUUAAAAGAAGGUUAGGAUUUUCUGUCAUUUCAGUUAUUGCAUGUGUAUGUAUUAUCUGUGUUACAGACAUGCCUGUACACACGUAUGCAUAAAUAUACACGUAUAAAAGGAAAAGAAAACACCCAUAAAACUCACUUGCUAUGGUAACUGUUGUUGUGGAAGCCAGUAAUGGUCAGCAAGCCGUGAAAAGCACAGGAGAUAAGAACACAUCUACUGUUAAUACUGUUCAGUUUUAGAAGUGCUCACAAUGAAGCUGCUGUUUUGACACUUUCUUCUGAAAUAUGAAGUAUUAGGCAUUGUCAGAGCCAAGAUAUGGGGCUAGAUGGACUCUUAACUGCCUGCUGUGGUGAUUCUUAUCUUCCUGCAUGGGGUGAAUUAGAAUUCUUUGGAUCAAUGAAUGUACACAGUCUUUUCUUGUAUCAGAAUAACAUUACAUAUCCUCUUGUCAUUCUAACACACCAGAAGAUUAUUUUCAAUGAUAAUGACGAGACCACGUCAAUCACGGGACUUUUGUAGUCGGAAUUUGCUUCUUAUUACAUCUUUCACGUGGCAAAUUUCCCCCUUUUUUUUCUUCUUGAAUUGCCACUCAGAAGUUGGGAGCAAAAUGGUCAGAAUUUGAAAAAGAGAAAAAGAAAAUAUCUCACUUCUGCUGCCACCACUGCUCUGAGUUGUACAGGUAUUAACUUCUCCUGUGCAUCCAUAAUUAUAAAAAUGCCAUAGGCAGAGCCUGCAUUUUGUUCUGUUUAAAUAUCUGUCCAGAUCACAGCUUUUCCCUGAUAAAGGCUAUUGUUGGAAAACAUUAGUAUGCGCUACCUGCAUUUUCCAUGUUCAAAGGAAGCAAUCACAGAGCACUUCAUUUAUUUUUACUAAGAGCUCAGAAAAUGCUGCACUGUUGCCAUUCUGCAAAGAAUGUAUUUUCAUCUCAAGGCAUUAUCAUGAACAGAUUCUUUCCAAAUUCCAGGAAAAGUGUGAUAUUUUUAUGUGGUAUAAUGAAGUCUGAGCACUUACAAAACUUGACUGGUUUAAGGGCUUUAAUUUCCUCCACGUUUUAUUGUUUAACUAAGUUCACUGGAAAUUUCUUUUGUAUAGACAAUUUCUUCCAGGCCCAAUGUUAAAUCUUGGGCUCGAUGUGUAACUGAUGGAGACUGACUGUUGGUGUCCACAGGAUCUGAAGAACACAGAAGUGGAUUACAGGAGGUGCCAACUGUAAAACAGCUGCGCCAGGAAGUUAUAAAGAGCAAAGGUUUAGCUCAAAGGUUGACGGAGCAACUAACUCUAGGUGGCUGAAGUUAGGCAAUCUGGAUCCUCCUAGGGUCUUUGGAGAGAAAGGAGCAUUUUCAGACACAUCUCAGACAGUGCCAUGGAUUUAGGUCAAUGUCACUCUGAAAAUUAAGGAAGUUAAUUCACAUUUUCCAGUAUGAGGGAUAGGAGCAUAAGGCUUCCUGAAAGUCAGUAGGAUUUAGCCUCCUAAGUUGGGAAGAUGCUUUAGAAAUAGGGCUGGUUAUCACCUCCAUUUAGUACUUUAUCUUUCGUUUGGUCAUGCUGCAUUUUUGCUUGGACUAUCUGUCCUCCUAACAAAUAACCAAUUUAAAGUUAAUUACAAUUGAUCAGUCUUUUCUAAGCCUUCAGUUUUCACACUUUGCUGCUCUGUAAAACUUGCCAAGGAAAAUGGUGUCAUAAUUGCAACAUUUUGCACCUUGACAUUAAGUGUAUAUUUCACUCAUGGCCAAUUUAAAAAUCAAAAUAGAAACUUCGUAAUAAUCUCCCUUUACAGUUUGGGUUAUGAGAAGCUGAGAAUUCCCUUAGGCUUGAUUGAUAAAACAUGGCAUUUAUCCUAUUCCUAGGAUGAUGUUCAGCAAACUUUAUGACAGAGGGAAACAGCUGGUAAAGUGGGUUCAUGGAAAGGUGAAGGUAAUAUAGACAUAAAAAACAAGAGGAUAAUGAUUUUAAAAGGGAUAAUAGUUGUAAUAACACCAUUAACCUUUUGCUUCAAAUUAUUGAAUGUGUGGUCUCUUCAGCAGGCUAAUCAAAGGUUUGCAUUAACUGCAAUGCAAGAGGAAGUGGCAAUAUACAACCUGAGCCCCAUUCUGUUGUAAUCAGAAGAUGGUGAAAGACUUCAGGAGCCAUGUGCCUUGAAUUUGAAUUAACCAGAUUGAAUUUAAAAUCAACACACUGAAAGGGCCUGAGAUAAGAAGUCAGAACAUUCAGAGGAAAUGAGAACUGUUCCAGGAACUAAAGCAGAAUGAAUGAGAGGUCCUUCAAACUGGUGGGAGACCUCUAAUGCAGAUGUAACGCUGAAGUCUUCUGGUGCCUUUACUGUGUUGUCACUGUGAUCUCUCAGUCCUUGUGCAGAGGUGGCUUGAGCUGUGUCAGGGUGAAGAUCACACAGCACAGGCUGACAUCCUCACUCAUGCUGUGACGGCUGCAACAAUGAGUAGCCACGGGAUGAAUCAGGAACCAAAGCCAACUCAUUAUACAGCAUCCAAAAGCUGAGACGUCUGAAGGUGAGAGCUGUGAAUGUAGAAACAGCCUUAAUGAAAGCACAAAACACCCAACGGCAAACCAGUGACGUGGCACACACCACAACCUUUCGCUCAAGCCAACAGACUCAAGUGAGAAAGGACUUUGAGUUUCAUCCCUACCAAACUGAAAGAGACCGUGUCUGCACUGACACUGGUAUGAGUUUGUGAAGGCACAGAAAAUCCUGACCGUCGGAAAACCAGCCUCACUUUCCCAAAGAGAAAGAUGAAUCCACAGAGCAGCUCUUGCCACAGCAGAAGGGACAUGUGUUCGGGGAACUGCAGAGGCAAAAUGUGUCAUGGGAAAAUCUCAACGGAUUCAGCCCAGGACGAGAAUAUGCAAAUGGAUGCAAAAUUAAAUGCAGCUGAACAAGGUAACACAUAUCCCAGCAAUGGAGAAAACUCACAGCAUACUUGCAAAAAAGAUGGAGCUCAAAUCCAACGGGGAGAGGAGGAUGUCUGAGCAGUCCCCAGUGACUGUAUUUUGGCAGGAAUAUGAAGGGUUUCCCAAAAGGAGUCAAGAAGGUGCUGCAGAAGUGAAAUGAGGAGCCACUAAAGUGCCAUGGUCAGUUACAGAACUAAACAGAAGACGUGUAACCCAGCCCUCUACAUAGCAAACCAGGAAACUACUGAUGCCAUCCCUGUGCCACUGGGGUGAGGAACCCACAGCCCUGCACCGAUUCCACAGCAGCACACACUGACCCGCUCCACCCUUGGAAGCAAACAGACUCUGCUGCUCAUCGUGGUAGAGGAGCACGUGAACAUAAAAGCACAGACACAGUGUUUGGUUCAGCAGAGCCCCAAAUCUCCGUGACUCUGUUCACUCCCCCCAGGAACUGCAUAUGCACAAACUGGGCCUAGCAUGUUUCAUAUGGGGUAACUGGAGCCGGCUAUUCAGACUGAAGGUUAAGAAGAUCGAAUGUGGUGGCUUUGCACCAAAACCAGCUCCAUUUCCCUACCUGAAGUGGAACGACAGUGAAAUCAGAAAUUACAGCCUUAUUUCGUAUCUGCAGGUUCAGCUGUAGUGUCACUGCCCACAAUCACAGUAUCAUCAGGUAGCAGCAUUCAUCUCAGGUGCUCAGUAUCCCUUCCAUACCCUGGAGAGACUAUGCCCUUAUUAAAGGUCUUAUUUAUAGACAGGGAAACUGAGGCAAUGAUCCACGUCCACAGAAAUCAGUGGCAGAUCUUCCACAGCUCCAACCAGACCCAGCAGACCUAGUAACUUCUCCAGGGAAGAGAGGGCAGGAGUGCUCUUAGGGGCAUAACUGGAAGCAGAUGAAUCCCUCAAAAUCUUCCUGUCCACUCAGUGGGCUUCCCAUGCGGAUCUAAAAUACUAGGGAGCCAAAUUAUUAAAGGUGUAUUGCUAAGAGGAGGGAACGAGGCAUGAAACUUGGGAAGCUCAGUCCCAAAGACUCCUCUUAGAAGCCAAGCUGUAAAGCUUUAUAUGCACCUGAAGCAAAAACUCCCUCUGUCUGCAUCUGCCUGUGAAAAGGAAACAGCUGAUUUGUGAACAUUUUCUUGCUAGAUUUGAAAUCUCUGUCCUUGAUUGAAAUGGGGAAUGCAAUUGCACAAGUCAUUGAUAAUUACUGAUAAAUGAAAGUAGUAUUGGAACCCAGUAGAACUUCCUCCCACUAGGAUCGAAUCCUGGAAAAGAGCCCUGGGAGCUCCAGCCUAUCUGCAUUUCCUGUUUUUUGUUGGAAUCUGUGUUGGAAUUGCUGGGUCUCCAAACCGUGCACAUACUCGGAGUAGGGGAUGUCUGUACGUGCAGAUCAAGAGACGUGAACUUCAUCUACACAGACGGCAAAAAGCAGCUUGCAGUUACUUUAACAUGUGACCAGUCCCAAUUAUGGCUUCUUCCACAUGGCAUCAGUAUGCGAUGGAGGAUCUCACUCUUCUUUUGCCAGAGGCAAAUGAAUACAUUACCCAGCAGCGAGGCGUGGGGCAGCGGAUGCCUCACUCUGGGGUGAUUUGGAUUCCACGCUCGCGUGGGGGUGUGAGCCAACCUCAGAAGUCAUUUUCACUGAUGCUGACACAUAAGGCUUCCCUCAGAGACCUGUCUAUCAAACUGCAACAUGCUAUGCAGAAAAAUUAGAUUACUCAUGCUACAAUAAAGAAGGGGAAGAUGACAACAAUGAGAAAACAAACCCCAGACCUCAAAAUAUAACAGCUAUUUAUUGAAUGAAUAAAAAUCCUGACAAGGGGAAAGUACCCUAGAGACUAUUUAUUUCUCUAUUUUACCUCUUGCAACCUGUUUCAAGGAGAGCCGGUUGGAAAGACCCUAUUAAUUCAGACACUGCCUCUGGAAAAACCACCACUUCAUCAUGAUUGUCACAUUACUGUACUUGUGAAAUAUCAUCUUAAAUAGUCAUUAUGAUUUUGCUGCUGGUCUUGCUGCAGUUAGCAGCAGGAUUUCCUUUGGCAGGAUCAGGCCCCCUCUCUCUUUGUGUCUCUGAAUUGCAAAUGGAUUGCUCACGUGUCAGCUUGGUAACUAGGCAAAGUUCAGCAUGCUCAAUUCAAAGCAUGCAAGAUGAAGCUCAGGGCAUUUCACUCACAGUAUCUGCCAAGUUCCUCAGGUCUACAAAAGUGUUAAAGUGGUUUAAUACAAAAUCCAUAAGACAAACAUUAUGCAGCUAUGUGAACCCCUGUCCAAUAAAAUCUAUUUCUUUGGGAAAAAAAAUACAAAGUAGUAAAACAUACACUUAGUAAAGAAAAGAAAAGGCUGGGUGAAGCUUAGUAAAAUCCUAUAAAUCAGAAUGCUGCACAGCUUCAGGAAGGGUGAUUUAAAACAAAUCUGCAGCAGAACACACACAGACGUACACACGAUCCCGAGCUGGAAACUGACCUGGACAAGUGCCGAGGUUAGAACAUCUCAAGACAGCACUGCAGGAAUGGUUUUACAGUAUCAGAUAAUGGAAAGGUUUGGCCAAAGGCUGAUUUUUCUUCUCUAGUAAUAACAAACCUGUGCUGGGGCUUCUGCAGUAUUUGCUGCUUGAGUUACUCCCCAGGAAUGCUAUUUGGGAAGGCUAAUUGAGAUUUUUAACUCCACCUGCCUUGAAUCAUCUUUCAGUUGUACUGCUUGCAACUGCAAAUUCUAUUUUACCUACUGUUAUCAUUUUGUAAGAAGCCAGUUGUGUAUGGGCUUGAUUUGUGAAGCAGCUCCAGCCACUUCCCAUGGGGUUUAUGUUCCCGUCUUGAGUCUCUUUUCCAAAUAUUUCUUCCCAGAGAUAAGUUUUGGUUCCCAUCCAAAUGAAAAGAGGAGAAGCGUAAGCUCUUCUGUGGCCCUGCAUCUUGCACAGCCUCAGAGGAGCUCGUGGCCUCCUGACCAGAGCCAAGAACAGAUGCAAGUUUGCCUUUCCCUGCUCAUUCUCCAGCUGUGUGACGCUGCCAUGUGCAGUGGUGUGGAUCAACCUGGCUGCACCCUUUUAAGCCUGGUGAGGGGUUCUUUUGGGGUUUGGCUUCUUAGCAUAGACAAGCAAUUUCAGCAUGACCAAGCAGCAUGGAAGUACAUAGAACUAUAGAUCUUUUUAAAACUGUCAGGAGCAAAUAUGAUCAGAUCUGGUUCUUGAUCUCAUUACUGUCUAAAAGAUUUGGUUGGCAUUUUUAAAUGCCAUGAUUUAUGUUCAUCACCUUAACACGGCCCUUGGAAGUGUAAACUCAGUAACUCUGUUAUUCUCCAGGGCAACUCUAAAGAAUCUGUUUGGAGAAUUUUCACAACACUGUGUCUAUAUGAAGAUAUUAACAUGGAUUAAGACAAGUUCAUAGAUUUUAAACCAGGCUAUAGAAUGAAAACCAGUGAGAAUAAAUCAAAUAGCUUUGCCUAACUACAGAAAGUGUUUGCAAAGCCCUGUAAGGUUUCCAUUUCCUAAAGCCACCUGCCAUCUCAAAUGCCCCUAAUCAGUCACAGAUGCUGGAUACCAACCUGCUAACCCUAUGGCUUUGAGAGAAAAUAUUGCACUUUGUAAACUCAUUCUUGGGUAUUUCCUUAAUUUUUCUUAAACUAAACUUUUAUCCCCUAUUUUCCACUUAAAUGUAAUGAGUUAAAUCAACUCUGACAUUUUGCCCUGCUCACCUCCCAGUUCUGCUCAGCUGCUUCCCUACCUACUUCUAGAAAAGUCUCCAGACCUCAGGUUUGGGGUUAUUUUUUCACUCCAUAU